rnacentral:rRNA from 1 species
AUGAACGCUAGCUACAGGCUUAACACAUGCAAGUCGAGGGGCAGCAUGACCUAGCAAUAGGUUGAUGGCGACCGGCGCACGGGUGAGUAACACGUAUCCAACCUACCGGUUAUUCCGGGAUAGCCUUUCGAAAGAAAGAUUAAUACCGGAUAGUAUAACGAGAAGGCAUCUUUUUGUUAUUAAAGAAUUUCGAUAACCGAUGGGGAUGCGUUCCAUUAGUUUGUUGGCGGGGUAACGGCCCACCAAGACAUCGAUGGAUAGGGGUUCUGAGAGGAAGGUCCCCCACAUUGGAACUGAGACACGGUCCAAACUCCUACGGGAGGCAGCAGUGAGGAAUAUUGGUCAAUGGACGAGAGUCUGAACCAGCCAAGUAGCGUGAAGGAUGACUGCCCUAUGGGUUGUAAACUUCUUUUAUAUGGGAAUAAAGUGAGCCACGUGUGGCUUUUUGUAUGUACCAUACGAAUAAGGAUCGGCUAACUCCGUGCCAGCAGCCGCGGUAAUACGGAGGAUCCGAGCGUUAUCCGGAUUUAUUGGGUUUAAAGGGAGCGUAGGCGGACUAUUAAGUCAGCUGUGAAAGUUUGCGGCUCAACCGUAAAAUUGCAGUUGAUACUGGUCGUCUUGAGUGCAGUAGAGGUAGGCGGAAUUCGUGGUGUAGCGGUGAAAUGCUUAGAUAUCACGAAGAACUCCGAUUGCGAAGGCAGCUUACUGGACUGUAACUGACGCUGAUGCUCGAAAGUGUGGGUAUCAAACAGGAUUAGAUACCCUGGUAGUCCACACAGUAAACGAUGAAUACUCGCUGUUUGCGAUAUACAGCAAGCGGCCAAGCGAAAGCAUUAAGUAUUCCACCUGGGGAGUACGCCGGCAACGGUGAAACUCAAAGGAAUUGACGGGGGCCCGCACAAGCGGUGGAGUAUGUGGUUUAAUUCGAAGCAACGCGAAGAACCUUACCAGGGCUUGACAUCCCACGGCUGGAAUUAGAGAUAGUUCUUUCCCUUCGGGGACUGUGGUGACAGGUGGUGCAUGGUUGUCGUCAGCUCGUGUCGUGAGAUGUUGGGUUAAGUCCCGCAACGAGCGCAACCCCUGUUGCCAGUUGCCAGCAUUAAGUUGGGGACUCUGGCGAGACUGCCGGUGACAAGCCGGAGGAAGGCGGGGAUGACGUCAAAUCAUCAUGCCCCUUAUGACCAGGGCUACACACGUGCUACAAUGGCGUAAACAAAGGGAAGCAGAGCCGCGAGGCCGAGCAAAUCUCAAAAAUAACGUCUCAGUUCGGAUUGUAGUCUGCAACUCGACUACAUGAAGCUGGAAUCGCUAGUAAUCGCGAAUCAGAAUGUCGCGGUGAAUACGUUCCCGGGCCUUGUACACACCGCCCGUCACACCAUGAGAGUCGGGAACACCCGAAGUCCGUAGCCUAACCGUAAGGAGGGCGCGGCCGAAGGUGGGUUCGAUAAUUGGGGUG